rnacentral:rRNA from 1 species
GAUGAACGCUGGCGGCGUGCUUAACACAUGCAAGUCGAGCGAAGCACUUAAGUUUGAUUCUUCGGAUGAAGACUUUUGUGACUGAGCGGCGGACGGGUGAGUAACGCGUGGGUAACCUGCCUCAUACAGGGGGAUAACAGUUAGAAAUGACUGCUAAUACCGCAUAAGACCACAGGGUCGCAUGACCCGGUGGUAAAAACUCCGGUGGUAUGAGAUGGACCCGCGUCUGAUUAGCUAGUUGGUGGGGUAACGGCUCACCAAGGCGACGAUCAGUAGCCGACCUGAGAGGGUGACCGGCCACAUUGGGACUGAGACACGGCCCAAACUCCUACGGGAGGCAGCAGUGGGGAAUAUUGCACAAUGGGGGAAACCCUGAUGCAGCGACGCCGCGUGAAGGAUGAAGUAUUUCGGUAUGUAAACUUCUAUCAGCAGGGAAGAAAAUGACGGUAC